UCCUACGGGAGGCAGCAGUGGGGAAUAUUGCGCAAUGGGGGAAACCCUGACGCAGCAACGCCGCGUGAGUGAUGAAGGUCUUCGGAUUGUAAAACUCUGUCUUCAGGGACGAUAAUGACGGUACCUGAGGAGGAAGCCACGGCUAACUACGUGCCAGCAGCCGCGGUA
rnacentral:rRNA from 1 species